rnacentral:rRNA from 1 species
AUGUGUGUACCGAAGAAGAAAGGGGGCUUAGGAUUUAGAGACCUUCACAGUUUUAACCUUGCUUUACUAGCAAAACAGUGUUGGCGACUAAUCCAGAACCCGGACUCUCUCUGUGCACGUGUACUAAGCGCAAAGUAUUAUCCAGAGGGGAAUAUUCUGAAGGCAGGCCCAAAGAAAGGCUCGUCGUUCACCUGGCAGAGUAUUGUUGCAGGGAUUCAAACCUUCAAAAGGGGAUGCAUAUGGUGUGUGGGCACAGGAGCGCAAAUAGAUAUAUGGCAGGAUCCAUGGAUCCCAUCGAGCCCCUCGAGGAAAGUGAUUACCCCCCGAGGAACGAUCAUGCUAAGAUACGUGGAGGAACUGAUAGAUCCACACAACAGGCAAUUGGACGAAGCCCUAAUCAGAGAUGUUUUCUCUCCCGUUGAUGCAUAUAGGAUCCUACAAAUACCUCUUAAUGUUCAGGCCAUGGAGGAUUUUAUAGCAUGGAAUUACACGAGAUCAGGGACAUUUUCUGUCCGGUCAACUUACCAUAGAGAGUUUGAACACUGUAUGGCAUCGCCUUGCGAGAUCAGAUGGGCAAGGGAAUACUCAGGAGGAUACAAUAUGGCAAGAAGUGUGGAAUCUUAA